rnacentral:misc_RNA from 1 species
AACGCACAUUGCGCCCUCCGGUAUUCCGGUGGGCAUGCCUGUUCGAGCGUCAUUUCAAACCUCAAGCUCUGCUUGGUGUUGGGCCGUCGUCCCUGCAGCGGACGUGCCCGAAACCCGUCGGCGGUGCGGUUCCGGCUUCAAGCGUAGCAAAGUUUUACACCCUCGCUUUGGAAGCACCGGGCCUCACCCGCCGGGAAACCAAUACUUCUCAAGUUUGACCUCGGAUCAGGUAGGGAUACCCGCUGAACUUAA